UUCCCCUUCAAGUUGUAGUUGCCACUGACACUUUGGUCUGUCCUUUCCCUACACCUCCCCAUCUUUCUCCCUGCAUCUUCAGUUUAUUUACAGAGACACAUGGCUAGGGCUUUUUUGGGGUGUGCGGGUUGUAUUUUUUCUUUCUUUUUUUUUUGUUGGAGCUUACAUAUCCAGUAGGGAUUAUAUUUUUUUCUAAGAAAGAUGAGAUUGUGUUAAGCUGUUCUACUGCUUUCUUUCCCCACUAGCAGUAUGUCCAGGAGAUCUUUCCAGAUCAGGAAACACAGAUUGACCUUUUUAAUCUUUUUAAUGACCACAGAGCAUUCUAUUGUAGGGACCAGCAUUUCCGUAUCAACUGGGUUGAUGUUUUUUCAGAAGUACUUUAUUCAUUCCAGAGGGAGAACAGAGAGGAAAUAAUGGCAGGAAGUCACAGCAGCCCAGAAACAGCCCCUUCCAAAGGGCAGGCUGUGACCCCAUGGCAACUUUGCAGGCACCUCCCUUGAUUUCCUGUGGGUUCCUCAGGUAGCCCAUCAGGCAAGAGCUGCCCCAGGACAGGUUUAACAGCAGGAAGAUCUGGGUAGCUCAGAUGGGCUCUGGAUCACGCUGCUGGGCUGGAAUCUUAGCUCCCGCAACCAUAGGGGUAGCCCCUGAGCCAGUCCCUUCACCUCUCUGAACUUCAGUCUUCUUUCUUAUCUGUGAAACAGGGAUGAUGGGAGUCAGUGCCUCCUGGUUUGUUGGAAGGAUUCAGUUAGAUAAGGUGUGAUUCCUCAUCCCCCAGGGUGGACCGCAUUGCCAGAAAUGACAUGAGGCCACCUUGCUACUCAGGCCGUGCCUCAUCCUUGACUCCUCUCCUCCUCUCACAGUCACAGCCAAUCCAGUGGCAAGGGCUGCCGACUGUGCCUUCCCAACAUGGCUGUCCUGGGCCACUUCCUGGUUAUCCUCACCUCCACCCUCAUUCGAGCUGGUUAAAAGCUUACAUCAGAGUCCAUCCCUCUGCUGUUCAGACCUUCUGGUGGCAUCUCUUCUGGCUCAGAGUAAAAGCCAAAGUCCUGGCCGGGCGCGGUGGCUCAUGCCUGUAAUCCCAGCACUUUGGGAGGCCAAGGCAGGUGGAUCACUUGAGGUCAGGAGUUCGAGACCAGCCUGGCCAACAUGGUGAAACCCCCCAUCUCUACUAAAAAUACAAAAAUUAGCUGGGCGUGGUGGCACACACCUGUAAUCCCGUCUACUCAGGAGGCUGAGGUAGGAGGAUUGCUUGAACCCAGAAGGCAGAGGUUGCAGUGACUCACCUGAAAUCUCGCCACUGCACUCCAGCCUGGGUGACAGAGCAAGGCUCUGUCUCAAAAAAAAUAAAUAAAUAAAAGCCAAGUCCUUAGCUCUGCCUCCCAGGUCCUCCCAUGCGGACCUGGCUGGCUCGCUGCCCUCACCUUCUGCCUUGUUCUCUGGCCACACCAGCCUCCCUGUUGUUCAUCAGCACCGCCAAAUGCACUCCUGCCUCAGGGCCUUUGUACCUGCUUUCCCUGCUGCCCAGACCAUCUCCCUGAUGACCUGAGGUCUCUCCUCAUGCAUGGCCUCAUCAGAGAGGCCUCUCCUGACCAUCCUGUCAAAAUAGCCCUGUCUUGUCUCUGGCAAAACAAAGCCACUGAAGAAUGAGAGAGGCUAUUUUCUCCCCUGGCCACCUCCCUAGAGGAGGUGCUCCCCUGAGGGGCCCAGCGGGGACCCUUGUGCCCUGGAUGCCGACUGCUGGUGAGUGCUGGCUCUCCCUGUCUGUGUCUGCUGCAGGCGAGAAGCCCUACAAAUGCUCAGUGUGCGAGUCUGCGUUCAACCGCAAGGACAAACUGAAGAGACACAUGUUGAUCCACGAGCCCUUCAAGAAAUACAAAUGCCCUUUCUCGACGCACACAGGCUGCAGUAAGGAGUUCAACCGGCCGGACAAGCUGAAGGCCCACAUCCUCUCCCACUCUGGCAUGAAGCUCCACAAAUGCGCCCUGUGCAGCAAGUCCUUCAGCCGCCGUGCCCACCUCGCCGAGCAUCAGCGCGCCCACACGGGCAACUACAAGUUCCGCUGUGCUGGCUGCGCCAAGGGCUUUUCCCGCCACAAAUACCUCAAAGAUCACCGCUGUCGUCUCGGCCCCCAAAAGGACAAGGACCUGCAAACCCGGCGGCCCCCCCAGAGGAGGGCAGCCCCCCGCAGUUGUGGCAGUGGUGGGCGCAAGGUGCUGACCCCCUUGCCUGACCCGCUGGGGCUGGAGGAGCUGAAGGACACAGGGGCUGGGCUGGUGCCCGAGGCUGUCCCCGGCAAGCCGCCCUUCGCAGAGCCGGACGCGGUGCUGUCCAUCGUUGUGGGUGGUGCGGUGGGCGCGGAACCUGAGCUGGUGGUACCUGGACACGCUGAGGGGCUGGGCUCCAACCUGGCUCUGGCGGAGCUGCAGGCCGGGGCCGAGGGCCCAUGUGCCAUGCUCGCUGUGCCCGUCUACAUCCAGGCCUCCGAGUGACGGACCUGAGGUGUCUGUUGCCUGGGCAGGCCUGAUGCUCCUGUUUGGGUCCAGGGCCCCUGGGGGCAGACCGGUGAUCCUUACCAGUGGAAGCGAGCCAUCGAGCCAUUGGCAGAAAUCCUGCUGAAUGUCAUUCAGAAACCUUGGCCCAUGGUCGCCCUCCUGUGCCCCUCUCCUGCCGGAAAGCCCUGCAACAUUCUAGGGUUGGGGGCAGGGCCAUCCACGGUUUCUGGGCAGAGCCAUGGUGGCAGGAGAGAGAUGGCUGAAGCCUGAGCAGCCCAGAGUCCCGCUGGUCUAGGCUGGUGGUCGGGGCCCCUGGGAGAGGAGACAGGGCAUUCCUCCCCACUCUGUCUCCAGGCUGCCUCUGGGUGGCCUCUAGUCUGCUGUUCUUCAGGAGGCCUGCCAUAAACUCUUCGGAGUUUAUGUGUUGCACCUUUUCACAGACGGUUCCCCACAGCGUCCUCAGACAGCUCUGUGAUGUAGCUUUUAGGAGGCACUCAGGUGUCACGGCUAGACUGCAGCUAUGAGACAGAUCUGGCUUCAAAUCCAAGAGUUGCCAUGCACUUGCUGUGUGACCUUGGGCAAGUCACUUCACUUCUCUGAGCCCCGUGUUCCUCAUCUGUACAAUGGGGCUUACGAUACUACUACCUCAUAGGGUUGUCCUGGGGAUCCAGUAUGAUGAAGUGCGCCAGGAGCUUGGCAUGGUGCCCGGCACGCAGAAAGUUCUCAAUAAAUGUUUUUGUCAUAACGUG
rnacentral:sRNA from 1 species